GACGGAGGGGGCAAGCGUUGUCCGGAAUCACUGGGCGUAAAGGGCGCGUAGGUGGCUUCGUGCGUCGGUGCUGAAAGCGCCGGGCUUAACCCGGCGAGGCGUGCCGAUACGACGAGGCUUGAGGCAGGGAGAGGGUAGCGGAAUUCCGGGUGUAGUGGUGAAAUGCGUAGAGAUCCGGAGGAACGCCAGAGACGAAGGUGGCUACCUGGCCCUGACCUGACGCUGAGACGCGAAAGCGUGGGGAGCAAACAGG
rnacentral:rRNA from 1 species